GAUGAUGGUAGCUGGGCUAGUAGGCUGCCUGGCUAGCUAUCUGGGCCUCACAUAUGGAGAGACGGCCGUAAUGGGCUUCCGGGCCUUGUAUACAUUGCGGGAAUAAUUUCACUUGGGUGGGUCAAGAUAGUCAGCUUAUACUCUAUAUCAGAGCAAAUUUCCUUUUUUAUUCAAGAUAUUUAAUGCUUUGAAAAAUUAAAGCACAAUUGCCCAUAAAGAUAUGUACAUAAGGGGCAUCUUUGGAUAAUAAUGCUGUUCGGAUCUGGAGUUUACCUAUACACGGAUUAGGUAUAAAAAAAGAAUCUUUUGUUAUGCCUUUAAAAGGAAGAGGGGGGAAAAUACACAUUUAAGAGUCGUUUACUACUGCAAAUAAAAAAAAGAGAAUUCUAGUUAAUGGUUCCCAUUUUUUUAUGAAUUUUGCAGCCCUAGAAAUCUACUUUUUUCGAACCAUGUUUCUUUUCGUAAUAUAUUUUUGAGGAAAAGAUUGUCGAUCCCCGUCAUUCGAUUAGAAGAAAAAGAACUGUACAGAAGGAUACAAGGAGGAUCCCUAGAAAAACGGAAAAGAAAAUAAAAAAAAGGCAGAGAAAAGGGCCUAAUCUCCCGGAUCCGGCCAAACACGCACGAAUCCGCACACGGAUGUCCUCCCAAAUGAGGAGUGCCACCUCUAGGGCUGGUAUCGUGGCCCCCUUGAAGAUGCGACUAUUGCGCUCCUUCCAUACACCCCACCAAGUGUAGACGAGCUUGCCACUAAUGGCCCGCUUCUCUGCAUUGGAAUGCCCAUGGAUGAGGGCAUCCCAAAAGGCAUCAACGGAUGGAGCGGAG
rnacentral:lncRNA from 1 species